rnacentral:rRNA from 1 species
UACAGAGGUGGCAAGCGUUGUUCGGAAUUACUGGGCGUAAAGGGCGAGUAGGCGGCCUUCUAAGUCAGACGUGAAAUCCCCCGGCUUAACCUGGGAACUGCGUCUGAUACUGGGAGGCUAGAGUAUGGGAGAGGGAUGUAGAAUUCCAGGUGUAGCGGAUGAAAUGCGUAGAUAUCUGGAGGAAUACCGGUGGCGAAGGCGGCAUCCUGGACCAUUACUGACGCUGAAUCGCGAAAGCUAGGGGAGCAAACGGGG